GGUAUAGCUGUGAAUCCUAGCAACAGGAGGAGAGAGAACUGUAUGUUUCUUCAAGUCUUCCAAGUGUUGGUGCCUUCUGGUACAUAAUUUACAGGGAGCAACAGAGACCUUGGAAAGGCCCCUCUUCCCGGUGCACGGGGAAAGGGCACAGAAGGACACAGUUUUCACUGGGUUCGAUCCUGUCGUUGUUGGACGGGAUAGCAGAUUGUAUCUACAUAGCGGUUGUGGAAGGACAGAGAGCCAGAAGGCCAGUGCGAUACUGAGAUACUGCGAAGGAGGGCCUGGAACGCGAUCCUGAACAGCCAGAUGCGACAUGACAGGUAGCAAAGGGAAGUGGCACUUUGAAGGAUAAAAAUCCUUUGCCUGGAGAACGAAGCACAGGCUGCCGGGGAGGCUGGCACAGGAGACGGGAACUUAGGAGACCUCCUAUCCAGGCGCCGCUGCAGGUGCGCUGGGUGACCUUCUGUUCUCCCAUUUUCCUCUAGGUGAGAUAUUAUUUAAAUCAUGAUUCUUUAACUGCAAGC
rnacentral:lncRNA from 1 species